ACCGCCAUAUUCACUUCAUAGCGCUCAACGGCUCAAGUCUAAACCACUCUCCCCUUGUAGGCUGUAUCCCUUUCUCCAUGGCCACAUGUCAUUGCCUCCUUCUCCCAGUUCCCUUCAAACCUACCAUUAUCCCUCCUAAACCCAUCUCCAAAAUCACCUGCUCGUCAAUCACAACCCAGUCACAAUCAGCCAAGCAACACCUCCUUACUCUAAUCUCCGAUCAACACCGUGGCCUCAAAACCCAAAAUGAUCCCAUUAAAAGAUCCUCAAUUAUCCAAGCCAUUGAUGCAAUGGCUGAUCUAGGAAAAGAUACAGUCACCACUGAUGACUCACUUUCUGCCACUUGGCGGUUGCUUUGGACCACAGAGAAAGAGCAGCUUUUUAUCAUAGAGAAAGCUCCAUUGUUUGGUACUCAAGCUGGUGAUGUUUUGCAGGUUAUAGAUGUUGAAAAAAGGACUCUUAAUAAUGUUAUCACUUUUCCACCUGAUGGGGUUUUCUUUGUACGCUCAAGUAUUGAAGUUUCUUCCUCUCAAAGAGUGAAUUUUAGAUUUACAAGUGCGGUUUUAAGAGGGAAGAAUUGGGAGAUACCGUUGCCGCCUUUCGGCCAGGGAUGGUUUGAAUCGUUGUACAUUGAUGAGGAGAUUAGAGUAGUGAAGGAUAUCAGGGGAGAUUAUUUAGUUGUUGACAAAGCUCCUUAUGCUUGGAAAGAAUGAAAGGUUCUGAUCUGAGUUGUGAAAGGAUAAUCAUGGAAACUAUUCAGUUGUGGAACAGGCUUCUCAUAAUUGGACAGAGCUGUAUUGUAUUAAUUUGUGAAUGUUCUGCUUCUUUAAAUUCCAUCUCGCCUCCAGCACCUUCCAAACUUUCUGUCUGAAGAUAGAUGGAGAUGGUUGAAAUCAACUUUGGAGACUCCUUGUAUCACACUUUCUCUCUUCACUAUACUGUAAUCAGAUUUUAGAGCCCCUUCAGCCAAGUCAAAUCAAAGCAAGCCAUGGAUAAUUUAUUUGCCUUGGACUCUGUACUUGCAGAUGCUUUAUGCAUUACUAUCAUAAUUUCUUAUGAUGUGUGAAUGAAGCGGAAGAUGAUGUCUCUAUCUCUCUUGCUGGUACGUGUGCUUCUCUCCCAUGUGUCUCUGGUUGUUGCCAUCUCAUCUGAUUCCUUGACAGUUAAGCCGAAUUUCACAAGUAGUUUUGGGCAGUCUUUUCGAAGAUGGUUUUAUUUGUGUUUCAAGGCUAUUCUUUCUGUUGAGAAGAUUAUAACAUUUCAUUAUUCUCGGCCUAUUUUGUGUCCCACCACCCUUUUCUUCGGUCUAAAAUGUGAACCUCACUGCUCCUGUCGUUCCCAUGUGUUUCUCAAGACCAUCGAGGAGGAGUUCUGGCUGUGAUCUUCCUUCUAGGUUUAAUUUCAAAUCAAUGCAAAUUUUUGGUC